UUUGAAAGGGAAACGAUUGAAGUCAGUCGUACCGACGAGAAUUCAACUCUUCAAGUGCGAACUUGUGGGCGUGCGUGAGCUUUAAAACCUCGCUGUUUGCAACGUUUGUGCUUUUUGGGUGUACUUUUUCGUAUGGUUGGCCAACGUCAGUUUCGUUUACCAUAAAAUGAUCGGAGGAAUGUAGCUUCGAUCUCGUAUUGAAGUGUUAUAGCCUCUGGUAGAUGUGGUGAACGAAACUGAGGAUUGCAACGAAUACCCUUUGGGCUAUCCGUCUGACCUCUGAAAGUUGCUUAGGUGCCGAAAGCGUGCUUACGGUUAUUUAAGUUAACGGUCAACAGGUUAGAACGUGAUUACAUUCGUUAAGGAUGUUGACGUA
rnacentral:rRNA from 1 species